UAUGAAGGAGAUAUUAAUCCUUUCUCUGAAGCUAAGAAGGGUCAGGCUUGGUUAGUACUUGCACUGGAGACCAUCUGGGAAUACCAAGUGUUCCAAGU
ensembl:rRNA 5S_rRNA 5S ribosomal RNA